UACGGGGGGGGCAAGCGUUGUUCGGAAUUACUGGGCGUAAAGGGCUCGUAGGCGGCCAACUAAGUCAGACGUGAAAUCCCCAGGCUCAACCUGGGAACUGCGUCUGAUACUGGAUGGCUUGAAUCCGGGAGAGGGAUGCAGAAUUCCAGGUGUAGCGGUGAAAUGCGUAGAUAUCUGGAGGAACACCGGUGGCGAAGGCGGCAUCCUGGACCGGCAUUGACGCUGAGGCGCGAAAGCCAGGGGAGCAAACGGG
rnacentral:rRNA from 1 species